GGUGGCUCAAUGGUAGAGUGCUUGCCUCACAUGCAUGAGCCGUUGGGUUCGAUUCCUCAGCCACCA
rfam:Dipodomys ordii contig_39885, whole genome shotgun sequence.